CCUACGGGAGGCAGCAGUGAGGAAUAUUGGUCAAUGGACGCAAGUCUGAACCAGCAAUGCCGCGUGCAGGAAGACGGCCCUAUGAGCUGUAAACUGCUUUUGUACGAGGGUAAAUGCAGAUACGCGAAUCUUCCCGUAUGUACCGUACGAAUAAGGAUCGGCUAACCCCGUGCCAGCAGCCGCGGUAAUAAGGAGGAUUCAAGCGUUAUCCGGAUUUAUUGGGUUUAAAGGGUGCGUAGGCGGUCGGGUAAGUUGGAGGUGAAAUCCCGAGGCUCAACUUCGGAAUUGCCUCUGAUACUGUUAGGCUAGAGAGUAGUAGCGGUAGGCGGAAUGUAUGGUGUAGCGGUGAAAUGCUUAGAGAUCAGACAGAACACCGAUUGCGAAGGCAGCUUACCAAGCUACAUCUGACGUUGAGGCACGAAAGCGUGGGGAGCAAACAGGAUGAGAUACCCCAGUAGUC
rnacentral:rRNA from 1 species